ensembl:lncRNA
CUGGGAAGAAUAAAGCGACCCUGCGAGGCGAGGCAUUGUUGGCCGAGGGGACAAAUGCUAAUUUCUCCUUCCCUCCACCGAACGCCCGAGCGAGAAAUGCAAAUACCUCUGGCAGAGGGCUGCAGAUAAAAGUCUGGGUGUCUGCAUGCGCGCACGCAGAUGGGUUUGAGUGCCGCGAUAAGCUGGCAAACAAGCUGGACCGUAUGGGCAGGCAUAGGGCUGCCCUGCUGCGACGGGAUGCGCUCCUCAGGCCGUUCCCUCCCACCGGGGCGUCACGGAGGGCCGCGGCACGGAGCAUCCCGAGCCCCAUCCCUGCGUGGGAUGAGCCCAUGGAGCCACCGUUGCCU